GGAGGCCGAGAUGGGCGGAUCAGAGGUCAGGAGAUCCAGACCACCCUGGCUAACACAGUGAAACUCUGUCUCUACUAAAAAUGCAGAAAAAUUAGCCGGGCGUGGUGGCAGGCACCUGUAGUCCCAGCUACUUGGGAGGCUGAGGCAGGAGAAUGGCAUGAACCCGGGAGGUGGAGGUUGCAGUGAGCUGGGAUCGCACCACUGCACUCCAGCCUGGGCGACAGAGUGAGACUAAGUCUCAAAAAAAAAAAAAAAAAAAACAUAGAUGACAGGUUGAUAGGUGCAGCAAACCACCAGGGCACAUAUGUAACAAACCUUCAUGUUCUACACAUGUAUCCAAGAACUUAAAAGUAAAAUAAAAAAAAAAAGAGGGGGGCAGCUCCAAGAUAGCUGAAUAGGAACAGCUCCAGUCUACAGCUCCCAGCAUGAGCGACACAGAAGACGACUGAUUUAUGGAUUUCCAACUGAGGUACCGGGUUCAUGUCACUGGGGCUCGUCGGAUAGUAGCCAAUAUUCAACAUUCUUGAAGAAAAGAAAUUUCAACCCAGAAUUUCAAAUCCUGCCAAACUAAGCUUCAUAAGUGAAGGAGAAAUAAAAUCCUUUACAGACAAGCAAAUGCUGAGAGAUUUUGUCACCACUAGGCCUGCCCUACAAGACCUCCUGAAGGAAGCACUAAACAUAGAAAGGAACAACCGGUACCAGCCACUGCAAAAACAUGACAAAUUGUAAAGACCAUCGCUGCUAGGAAGAAACUGCAUCAACUAACGAGCAAAAUAACCAGCUAACAUCAUUAUGACAGGAUCAAAUUCACACAUAACAAUAUUAACCUUAAAUAUAAAUGGGCUAAAUGCUCCAAUUAAAAGACACAAACUGGCAAACUGGAUAAAGAGUCAAGACCCAUCAGUGUGCUGUAUUCAGGAGACCCAUCUCACGUGCAGA
rnacentral:lncRNA from 10 species